GAAGACAAAUGGCUCAGCUUGAGAGAGAAUUGGGUGCAGAGAGAAGGGAGGAGAAUGGUCUCCGGUCGGUGGCGACGGCGGGUGAGAGGAAGGGGAAAUUAGGGUUUGGGAGUGGGGAAGGUUGGGGAAGUGAUGAUGUGGUUUUUAUUUUAUUUUUAUUUUUCAACUUUUUUUCCACAUGUAAAAAAUAUGCCUAGGUGUCAAUUCCGGCUGCCACCGUGUCAUUUUCGGCGCCGGCGUAAGAAAAGAUCGAUCACCGAACAAAUUUGAGACUAGGGAUGGCAAUCGGGUACGAUGGGCACGGAUAAUGGCUAUCCAUAUCCGUACCCACGAACUAAA
rnacentral:lncRNA from 1 species